AUACAGACCGCUAGGUCGUCGCGGCUUAUGCCGCGCCCUCCCGGAGCACAGCCCUGAAAGGGCGGUACGUGCGUGAGGGAAGCACACUUCAACUUUCUAGAUAUCAAAAUAAGGUAUCUAACUUUCGAAUACAUAGGGGUUAGAAGCGAACCCGGGGAACUGAAACAUCUAAGUACCCGGAGGAAAGGACACCAAACGAGACUCAGUAAGAAGUGGCGAGCGAACGCGGACCAGGCCAGUGG
rnacentral:rRNA from 1 species